GGCAUUUUCCCCCCACCAACGAACUCUGGGUGGGUUUUUUAGCUCCUUCCUCUGAAGCCCCAGUGAUGGCCGUGGCUGGAGAUGGGACACUGGACAGGGUGGGCAGGGCUCUAAGGGGGCACCCAGCAUUGUCUCUCUCAGGAAUGAACUCAGGGAAGCCCAAUGGCCUGUGUUGUAGAGGAGGCCAGACUAACUGAUCCCAAUCGUCCCUCCUGGCCUCUGAAUCUAUGAAUCUCAGAAUCCACUCCGCUGCCAGUGGGCUCAGCAGAGAAGACAGAGAAUGAACAGGUGCUGGAAAGUAACUCUGCCUUACCAGAUCUGAAUGCUCAAAAACCAGGAGUCAGGCCUCCAAAAAACCACCAGAUUCUAAACGUGAUAAUAAAUGUUGAGUUGUU